rnacentral:rRNA from 1 species
AUUGAACGCUGGCGGCAGGCUUAACACAUGCAAGUCGAGCGGUAGCACAAGAGAGCUUGCUCUCUGGGUGACGAGCGGCGGACGGGUGAGUAAUGUCUGGGAAACUGCCUGAUGGAGGGGGAUAACUACUGGAAACGGUAGCUAAUACCGCAUAACGUCGCAAGACCAAAGAGGGGGACCUUCGGGCCUCUUGCCAUCAGAUGUGCCCAGAUGGGAUUAGCUAGUAGGUGGGGUAAUGGCUCACCUAGGCGACGAUCCCUAGCUGGUCUGAGAGGAUGACCAGCCACACUGGAACUGAGACACGGUCCAGACUCCUACGGGAGGCAGCAGUGGGGAAUAUUGCACAAUGGGCGCAAGCCUGAUGCAGCCAUGCCGCGUGUGUGAAGAAGGCCUUCGGGUUGUAAAGCACUUUCAGCGAGGAGGAAGGUGGUGAACUUAAUACGUUCAUCAAUUAACGUUACUCGCAGAAGAAGCACCGGCUAACUCCGUG